AUGCCUUCCUGGAACGACGAGGAAACGAGCUCCGACAAGGACAGCGAGGUCGUCAGCAUGGUCAUGGGACUGAUGGAGGAACCGGACACCAUUGUGGAGCCCGUUUUCUGUGGCCAACUUGAGCUUGCUGAACCCAAGUGCAUUCUGCAUCAAAUGAGGCAUGUUAAGCGUGUUGCUUUUGAAGGCAUUGCAAAUGGUGUGAAUUGUGGUGUUGUAGAGUGGGUUGAUGGGCAUUGGCCUCCAGUUCUUCAGAGAUGUUUGUCGAAGCUAUGGGAAAUGUUCCAUGAGCAGAAUUGUGGAAGGGUACUUGACAAAGAUAAGUUUGAGAAGGAGUUGGCCAAGGUUAAGAGUGAACAUGAAAGGGAGUUGGACAAGCUUAAGAUGGAAAUGACAAUUUGUGCAUUGAGUACACCAAGCUUGUCGAUGAUGUAUCCAAGAUGUUUGAUUGGCAGGAUGGUAGGGUGGACAAGAAUGUGCACCAGAAACAAGUGGAGGAGGAAGAACAUGAGAAGAAGAAGAAGGAGCUUGAGGAUAAAACUAUGUUUGAGAGCCAAGCUGAUAUCAUCAAGAACACCAUGA
rnacentral:rRNA from 1 species